rnacentral:lncRNA from 1 species
AACGUACCCAGCCACGAGGGGGGGAAAAAAAACAAGAAUACACGAUUUACGAACCGCUGGUCUUUGUCAAGAUCGGAAUCGAAAUUCGAAGGUCGAAACAAACGAAAGGUAUGCAACCAAAAAUCAUCGUCGGGAUAACAAACCGACAGUUCUGGCAGGCCAAGAAAACGGUUACGGAGGAGAAUUUCACCCGAUCUGAUAUGGAGGCUGCUGAGAGUCUGAUGUUGCUGAGCGAGAACAACGGCAACGACUGUGAUAUCAACAUCCGGAAAAGAGGAAGAAAAAGAUCUUAUCCAAAUCGAUGUAGCUGCUGCGAUGAUCAUACAUCGUCAAGUUCUUCGAUACCGUCGGUGAACAUGAUCAUCAUCAAUGAUGAGUUCCUCACGGGACCUUGGGUGAGGUUGCAACGGUACCGGACUGUCGAUGAUGUUUAUUCCCACACGAAACGAAUGAAUCGAUGCUGUGCAUGAUCGACCGUUCGCUGGGUACGUUGAGGGAUCCAUAAGUCAGUGUGCUUAUAAUUUCAUGUGUAAUGAAUCCUUUUCCAUUUUGAUUAUCAUAUUGAUUAUCGAGUAUAUAUACACGAUCCAUGGUCCUUAAAGAGUCCCCAAGAACUCCAGACGGAAGCUUGAAUGGACAAUUGGAAAAUCAGAUAGUGUGAAUUGUGGAAAGUUAAACAGAAGCUAGCCUUGGCUGAAAGAGUGCAAGUCGAUCGCCUUUUUCACAUUCCUACACUUUAUCCAACAAGAAUAUCACAAGCGAACGUCUAUACUCGUCCUUGUCAUCAAUCGAAACACUCAUCUUAGAAACAACUUGCUCGCCUAACUUAUAAGCGUCACCAGUCGGCCCAUCGUUGCAGAGAACUUCGAGAAUAACCUUGACAGCGAGUCAGUGACUUUAUUCGGUAAAACUUUUCUUUUCAACAUUUAAUCAAACACCUUCAAUGCAUUCUUGAAAGCAUCGUAUCAAACGACUGUUUUUUCUCUUCGGACUCCUGUACGCAUCAAGAAGUUAAGGAAUGAAAUUGAGAUUCCGAUAACAGUUAAGGACCGGAGGAAGACGAUUGGAAAACGGAGGAGGGUAGAGUCUACGAUGGCCAAGUGAAGGGAAGAGGAGGCGAUAUUGUUUACAGUUACGGGUGGCCCGGGAUAGUUGGUCAGACUUCAGCCUACAUGACGCAUAACUACAAGAUGAUCCAGGUUUCAGAACCCAUCGUUAUAACUUGUUAUUCAUUAUUCACCAACCGACCGACCUUUUCACUCCUCGCUCGGUAGAUUUUUUUUACUUGUAAAAAUAACAAUACGUCGGACGUCGGUAAUUC